rnacentral:rRNA from 1 species
GACGAACGCUGGCGGCGUGCUUAACACAUGCAAGUCGAACGGAAAGGCCCUGCUUUUGUGGGGUGCUCGAGUGGCGCGCGGGUGAGUAACACGUGAGUAACCUGCCCUUGACUUUGGGAUAACUUCACGAAACUGGGGCUAAUACCGGAUAGGAGCUCCUGCUGCAUGGUGGGGGUUGGAAAGUUUCGGCGGUUGGGGCUGGACUAGGGGCUUAUCAGCUUGUUGGUGGGGUAGUGGCUUACCCAGGCUUUGACGGGUAGCCGGCCUGAGAGGGUGACCGGCCACAUUGGGACUGAGAUACGGCCCAGACUCCUACGGGAGGCAGCAGUGGGGAAUAUUGCACAAUGGGCGGAAGCCGUAUGCAGCAACGCCGCGUGCGGGAUGACGGCCUUCGGGUUGUAAACCGCUUUCGCCUGUGACGAAGCGUGAGUGACGGUAAUGGGUAAAGAAGCACCGGCUAACUACGUG